AACAAACAGACUCACAUAUCAACUGGUUUCAGGCAAGCCGUGGUCCUGAUUAUUGAUUUUUUAAAAGGUAUCAGCUUUAACAAGUGACCUCAGAGGACUCAGUUACCAGAGCUACAGCCUAAUUCCCAGAGUAAGCAGAAUCAAGAGUUUACUGGAUAAAGGAAAAGGAAAGGACUUGUGAAAAGCCUAAAACUCUCUGAGAAGGUGACUCCCUGAUGUCCUUCUUGUGUUUUCUAGAUUCCCAAGAUGAAAUGCUCCAAGUGUUGUGCUCCAGGUAUUAGUGACCGAGGCACAGUGAGAACCACGACAACACACGGAGGGUUCCAGGUCCUGGAGGGGCCGUAAGGAAAUGUGCAAUGAGACAUCGCUGGGAAGGCAGUUAAGGACAGACACUAAAAUGUUAGAUGGAGCCAAUUUUCCAGGAAAAAGAAUGUAAAGAGAUCUGCGGUGACAGGAAGAGCAUUAAAAUGAAGGAAACCUAUAGGAUAUCAUGGGAGGGAAUGUCCCUCCCGGAGCAAACCGCAGGAACCCACACGAGGAGCAGAUAACCACGUGGGUGUAGCAACCGCUGGGCCUGACUGCAGGCUGUGUGGGCUCCAAAGGACUUUGUGUUGGUCGUGCUGAAGACAAGGUUGGACUUUUUUCAUAGCAGCAGAACAAAAGGAAAUGGGAACCCAGUAACCCAGGGAUAGAUUUCUACCUGGAUAAAUCAUAUUUCCAAGCAACAACUUUCCAUGAGUGGGUCCUUGAAGUGUUUUCUUCAUAAUCCCAUGGAAGAGCCUGGUUUCUGCUGGCAACAAAACUAGUGUUUCUCAGCACUUCCCACUUCCAACUCACAGGUUCUUGAAAAUAAUAUCUGAAUCAUGUAAUUUCUUGCCCUUUCUUUAAAUUUUGUGUAUUUGGAUAAGAUGGAAAGUAAAUAUGUAUAACAUGGCAGAGGAUGAAUCAAGUUUAUAUAUGAGUAUAAAAUACAUUCAUUCAGAAAAAAUCAAGAUCAGCAUAUAAGAUCAGCAAUAUUAUACGGCACAGUAAGAAGAAUGUAUACCUGUACAUAAUUACAGCAAGUACUGCUUUUAUUUGUCUCCAUUCCUUUGGCACUUAAGUCUGCAGGAGAGAUUCUUUGAGGUCAAUGAGCACGUCUACCAGAUUUGGAGGAUGUGAUGUUGAGAACAAUUCAAAGGAGUUCCAUUUUCUAACAUAAAUAAAUGUCUUGAGAUUUAACAAUGUAUAACACCAUAGGUAAAAAUGAACAAUGUAAUAAAAAAACUUGAGUGUGCCAUUACAUGGCCUUGGAUUUCUGAUAAUUAUGCCCUUUUUCCAAACCUAUUUGGGGCUCAGGUAUAAUUAAAACAGUACUUACUGACAGUAGUAAUGUUUUCCAUCAAAAACACAGGAAAUAGCAACAUAGAUGAGAAUAUCUGUAAAGAUCUUUUAAUGUCAUAUAAAAUUUUAUAGAA